AAUAUUGGACAAUGGGGGCAACCCUGAUCCAGCCAUGCCGCGUGUGUGAAGAAGGUCUUCGGAUUGUAAAGCACUUUAAGUUGGGAGGAAGGGCUUUAGGCUAAUACCCUGAAGUUUUGACGUUACCAACAGAAUAAGCAACGUCUAACUUUUUUCCAUCAGCCGCGGUAAUACAGAGGGUGCCAGCGUUAAUCGGAAUUACCGGGGUUAAAGCGCGCGUAGGUGGUUCAGUAAGAUGGGUGUGAAAUCCCCGGGCUUAACCUGGGAACUGCUUUCAUAACUGCUGAGCUGGAGUACGGUAGAGGGUAGUGGAAUUUCCUGUGUAGCGGUGAAAUGCGUAGAUAUAGGAAGGAACACCAGUGGCGAAGGCGACUACCUGGACUGAUACUGACACUGAGGUGCGAAAGCGUGGGGAGCAAAC
rnacentral:rRNA from 1 species